rnacentral:pre_miRNA from 1 species
CUUGUACUCCCUCCGUUCGAAAAUACUUGUCAUUGAAAUGGAUGUAUUUAGAUGUAUUUUAGUUCUAGACACAUCCAUUUUGAUGACAAGUAAUUCCGGACGGAGGGAGUACUUG